UACGUAGGGGGCUAGCGUUGUCCGGAAUCAUUGGGCGUAAAGAGCGCGUAGGCGGCCAGAUAAGUCCGGUGUGAAAGUCACAGGCUCAACCUGUGAAUGCCGCUGGAAACUGUCUGGCUAGAGUCCGGAAGAGGAGAGUGGAAUUCCUGGUGUAGCGGUGAAAUGCGCAGAUAUCAGGAAGAACACCCGUGGCGAAGGCGGCUCUCUGGGACGGUACUGACGCUGAGACGCGAAAGCGUGGGGAGCGAACAGG
rnacentral:rRNA from 1 species